AACGAACGCUGGCGGCAUGCCUAACACAUGCAAGUCGAACGAGACCUUCGGGUCUAGUGGCGCACGGGUGCGUAACGCGUGGGAACCUGCCCUUAGGUUCGGAAUAACUCCCCGAAAGGGGUGCUAAUACCGGAUAAUGUCUUCGGACCAAAGAUUUAUCGCCUUUGGAUGGGCCCGCGUUGGAUUAGCUAGUUGGUAGGGUAAAAGCCUACCAAGGCGACGAUCCAUAGCUGGUCUGAGAGGAUGAUCAGCCACACUGGGACUGAGACACGGCCCAGACCCCUAGGGGAGGCAGCGGUGGGGAAUAUUGGACAAGGGGCGAAGGCCUGACCAAGCAAUGCCGCGUGAGUGAGGAAGCCCUUAGGGUUGUAAAGCCCUUUUACCCGGGAUGAUAAUGACGGUACCGGGAGAAUAAGCCCCGGCUAACUCCGUG
rnacentral:rRNA from 1 species